UCCGUAGGUGAACCUGCGGAAGGAUCAUUAUUGAAUAAAGUCUGGCAAGAGACUGUUGCUGGCACAAUAAGUGACAUGUGCACGUCUCUAUAAAUGCCAGUUUUCGUUCACGUUCUCCUGUGCAUUUAUGUAGACACCUUGGAUGGAGGAACUUUGACUGGUUUCUUGCUAGAGAAAAGAUAUCAGGGUGUCUAUGCUUUUUAACAGACACAAUGCAUGUAUUAUAGAAUGGCUAAGGUCAAUGAACAAAGUUAAAUGUAAAUAUAACUUUCAACAAUGGAUCUCUUGGCUCUCGCAUCGAUGAAGAACGCAGCGAAAUGCGAUAAGUAAUGUGAAUUGCAGAAUUCAGUGAAUCAUCGAAUCUUUGAACGCAUCUUGCGCUCCUUGGUAUUCUGAGGAGCAUGCCUGUUUGAGUGUCAGCAAAUUCUCAAAAGUCCUUUGAUUUGUUUUGGAGGGCCUUUGGACAUUGGGAGCUGCAGGUUUAUGAAGCCAGCUCUCCUUAAAUGAAUUAGCAGAGAAUAAGGUGAUUAUCUGUUGGUGUGAUAAAAUCAUUUGCACCAUGAAGCCCUUUAUGAUCUCUGCUUUGUAAUAUAUCUCUGUCUUUGAGAUAUUAAUUAACUGACUUGACCUCAAAUCAGGUAGGAUUACCCGCUGAACUUAAGCAUAUCAAUAAGCGGAGGA
rnacentral:misc_RNA from 1 species